rnacentral:rRNA from 1 species
UAGGGAAUCUUCGGCAAUGGACGAAAGUCUGACCGAGCAACGCCGCGUGAGUGAAGAAGGUUUUCGGAUCGUAAAACUCUGUUGUUAGAGAAGAACAAGGACGUUAGUAACUGAACGUCCCCUGACGGUAUCUAACCAGAAAGCCACGGCUAACUACGUGCCAGCAGCCGCGGUAAUACGUAGGUGGCAAGCGUUGUCCGGAUUUAUUGGGCGUAAAGCGAGCGCAGGCGGUUUCUUAAGUCUGAUGUGAAAGCCCCCGGCUCAACCGGGGAGGGUCAUUGGAAACUGGGAGACUUGAGUGCAGAAGAGGAGAGUGUAAUUCCAUGUGUAGCGGUGAAAUGCGUAGAUAUAUGGAGGAACACCAGUAGCGAAGGCGGCUCUCUGGUCUGUAACUGACGCUGAGGCUCGAAAGCGUGGGGAGCAAACAGG